rnacentral:rRNA from 1 species
UACGUAGGUGGCAAGCGUUGUCCGGAAUCAUUGGGCGUAAAGCGCGUGUAGGCGGCUGAGUAAGUCCGCUCUGAAAGCCCGGGGCUCAACCCCGGGAGGCGGGUGGAUACUGCUCAGCUCGAGUCCGGAAGAGGAGUGUGGAAUUCCUGGUGUAGCGGUGAAAUGCGCAGAUAUCAGGAGGAACACCAAUGGCGAAGGCAGCACUCUGGGACGGUACUGACGCUGAGACGCGAAAGCGUGGGGAGCAAACAGG